GACGAACGCUGGCGGCGUGCUUAACACAUGCAAGUCGAACGGAAAGGCCCUUCGGGGGACUCGAGGGGGGAACGGGGGGGGAACACGGGGGGGAGCUGCCCCGCACCUUGGGAUAAGCCUGGGAAAAUGGGACUAAUACCGAAAAGGGACAAGCGCUCCAUGGGGGGGGGGGGGAAGGUUUUGCGGUGUGGGAUGGGCCCGCGGCCUAUCAGGUUGUUGGUGGGGGAAUGGCCUACCAAGGCGACGACGGGUAGCCGGCCUGAGAGGGUGACCGGCCACACUGGGACUGAGAUACGGCCCAGACUCCUACGGGAGGCAGCAGUGGGGAAUAUUGCACAAUGGGCGCAAGCCUGAUGCAGCGACGCCGCGUGAGGGAUGACGGCCUUCGGGUUGUAAACCUCUUUCAAUAGGGACGAAGCGCAAGUGACGGUACCUAUAGAAGAAGCACCGGCCAACUACGUG
rnacentral:rRNA from 1 species